GGAUGGGUGGCUGAGUGGUUGAAAGCACCGGUCUUGAAAACCGGCAAGGGCCGAGAGGUUCUUCGUGGGUUCAAAUCCCACCCCAUCCGCCA
rnacentral:tRNA from 1 species